GAUGAACGCUGGCGGCGUGCCUAAUACAUGCAAGUCGAGCGAACGGACGAGAAGCUUGCUUCUCUGAUGUUAGCGGCGGACGGGUGAGUAACACGUGGAUAACCUACCUAUAAGACUGGGAUAACUUCGGGAAACCGGAGCUAAUACCGGAUAAUAUUUUGAACCGCAUGGUUCAAAAGUGAAAGACGGUCCUGCUGUCACUUAUAGAUGGAUCCGCGCUGCAUUAGCUAGUUGGUAAGGUAACGGCUUACCAAGGCAACGAUGCAUAGCCGACCUGAGAGGGUGAUCGGCCACACUGGAACUGAGACACGGUCCUGACUCCUACGGGAGGCAGCAGUAGGGAAUCUUCCGCAAUGGGCGAAAGCCUGACGGAGCAACGCCGCGUGAGUGAUGAAGGUCUUCGGAUCGUAAAACUCUGUUAUUAGGGAAGAACAUAUGUGUAAGUAACUGUGCACAUCUUGACGGUACCUAAUCAGAAAGCCACGGCUAACUACGUG
rnacentral:rRNA from 1 species